rnacentral:rRNA from 1 species
GGCCUGGUGGCCCUAGCGGGGAGCCCCCACCCGAUCCCAUCCCGAACUCGGCCGUGAAACUCCCCAGCGCCAAUGGUACUGCAUCUUAAGGUGUGGGAGAGUAGGUCGCCGCCAGGCCUG